UACGGAGGGUGCAAGCGUUGUCCGGAUUUAUUGGGUUUAAAGGGUGCGUAGGCGGCCCUGUAAGUCAGUGGUGAAAUACUGCAGCUUAACUGUAGCAUUGCCAUUGAUACUGUAGGGCUUGAGUACAGAUGAGGUAGGCGGAAUUGAUGGUGUAGCGGUGAAAUGCAUAGAUAUCGUAAGGAAGACCAGUGGCGAAGGCGGGUCUCUGGACAGUUCCUGACGCUGAGGCACGAAGGUCAGGGGAGCAAACGGG
rnacentral:rRNA from 1 species